rnacentral:sRNA from 1 species
GGAAGUGGCAUGACAGGGCUUGUGUCCCUGUCAUAUUUUCCACUCUCCACGAGGUCCUGCACGCUUCAAUCCUGCAGGCAGCCCGGUUUGGGGAUGUGGUCCUUGCUGCUCUGCGGGUUGUCCAUCGCCCUUCCACUGUCUGUCACAGCAGGACUGUAACGAGAUUAAAGGGGAGCGGUUCACUGUUUUGGAAACCAGGCUUUCGGUGAGCAAUGUCUCGGCAGAGGACAGAGGGAACUACGCGUGUCAAGCCAUACUGACACACGCAGGGAAGCAGUACGAGGUUUUAAAUGGCAUCACUGUGAGCAUUACAGAAAGAGCUGGAUAUGGAGGAAGUGUCCCUAAAAUCAUUUAUCCAAAAAAUCAUUCAAUUGAAGUACAGCUUGGUACCACUUUGAUUGUGGACUGCAAUAUAACAGACACCAAGGAUAAUACAAACCUACGAUGCUGGAGAGUCAAUAACACUUUGGUGGAUGAUUACUAUGAUGAAUCCAAACGAAUCAGAGAAGGGGUGGAAACCCAUGUCUCUUUUCGGGAACAUAAUUUGUACACAGUAAACAUCACCUUCUUGGAAGUGAAAAUGGAAGAUUAUGGCCUUCCUUUCAUGUGCCACGCUGGAGUGUCCACAGCAUACAUUAUAUUACAGCUCCCAGCUCCAGAUUUUCGAGCUUACUUGAUAGGAGGGCUUAUCGCCUUGGUGGCUGUGGCUGUGUCUGUUGUGUACAUAUACAACAUUUUUAAGAUUGAUAUUGUUCUUUGGUAUCGAAGUGCCUUCCAUUCUACAGAGACCAUAGUAGAUGGGAAGCUGUAUGACGCCUAUGUCUUAUACCCCAAGCCCCACAAGGAAAGCCAGAGGCAUGCCGUGGAUGCCCUGGUGUUGAAUAUCCUGCCCGAGGUGUUGGAGAGACAAUGUGGAUAUAAAUUGUUUAUAUUCGGCAGAGAUGAAUUCCCUGGACAAGCCGUGGCCAAUGUCAUCGAUGAAAACGUUAAGCUGUGCAGGAGGCUGAUUGUCAUUGUGGUCCCCGAAUCGCUGGGCUUUGGCCUGUUGAAGAACCUGUCAGAAGAACAAAUCGCGGUCUACAGUGCCCUGAUCCAGGACGGGAUGAAGGUUAUUCUCAUUGAGCUGGAGAAAAUCGAGGACUACACAGUCAUGCCAGAGUCAAUUCAGUACCUUAAACAGAAGCAUGGUGCCAUCCGGUGGCAUGGGGACUUCACGGAGCAGUCACAGUGUAUGAAGACCAAGUUUUGGAAGACAGUGAGAUACCACAUGCCGCCCAGAAGGUGUCGGCCGUCUCCUCCGGUCCAGCUGCCGCAGCACACACCUUGCUACCGCACCGCAGGCCCAGAACUAGGCUCAAGAAGAAAGAAGUGUACUCUCACGACUGGCUAAGACUUGCUGGACUGACACCUAUGGCUGGAAGAUGACUUGUUUUGCUCCAUGUCUCCUCAUUCCUACACCUAUUUUCUGCUGCAGGAUGAAGCUAGGG